rnacentral:rRNA from 1 species
GAUGAACGCUGGCGGCGUGCUUAACACAUGCAAGUCGAACGAUGAAGCCCAGCUUGCUGGGUGGAUUAGUGGCGAACGGGUGAGUAACACGUGAGUAACCUGCCCUUAACUCUGGGAUAAGUCUGGGAAACUGGGUCUAAUACCGGAUAGGAGCGUCCACCGCAUGGUGGGUGUUGGAAAGAUUUAUCGGUUUUGGAUGGACUCGCGGCCUAUCAGCUUGUUGGUGAGGUAAUGGCUCACCAAGGCGACGACGGGUAGCCGGCCUGAGAGGGUGACCGGCCACACUGGGACUGAGACACGGCCCAGACUCCUACGGGAGGCAGCAGUGGGGAAUAUUGCACAAUGGGCGCAAGCCUGAUGCAGCGACGCCGCGUGAGGGAUGACGGCCUUCGGGUUGUAAACCUCUUUCAGUAGGGAAGAAGCGAAAGUGACGGUACCUGCAGAAGAAGCACCGGCUAACUACGUG